rnacentral:misc_RNA from 1 species
GAUGAAGAACGUAGCGAAAUGCGAUAAGUAAUGUGAAUUGCAGAAUUCAGUGAAUCAUCGAAUCUUUGAACGCACAUUGCGCCCGCCAGUAUUCUGGCGGGCAUGCCUGUUCGAGCGUCAUUACACCCCUCAGGCCCCCGGGCCUGGCGUUGGGGAUCGGCGGAGCCCCCCGUGGGCACACGCCGUCCCCCAAAUGCAGUGGCGGUCCCGCCGCAGCUUCCAUCGCGUAGUAGCUAACACCUCGCGACUGGAGAGCGGCGCGGCCACGCCGUAAAACACCCAACUCUUCUGAAGUUGACCUCGAAUCAGGUAGGAAUACCCGCUGAACUUAAGCAUAUCAAUAAGCGGAGGA